rnacentral:misc_RNA from 1 species
GAUGAAGAACGUAGUGAAAUGCGAUACUUGGUGUGAAUUGCAGAAUCCCGUGAACCAUCGAGUCUUUGAACGCAAGUUGCGCCCGAAGCCAUUAGGCCGAGGGCACGCCUGCCUGGGCGUCACACGUCGUUGCCCCCCCCAUCUACUCCUUCGGGAUUGCGGGGGGCGGAUGAUGGCCUCCCGUGUGCCUCGCCGCGCGGUGGGCAUAAAUGCCAAGUCCUCGGCGACGCACGCCACGACAAUCGGUGGUUGCGAAACCUCGGUUGCCCGUCGUGUGCGGUCGUCGCGCAUCGAGGGCUCGAAAAAAUUGCCGGGUUCCGGCUCGGCUUUCAACGCGACCCCAGGUCAGGCGGGGUUACCCGCUGAAUUUAAGCAUAUCAAUAAGCGGAGGA